rnacentral:lncRNA from 1 species
UAAAGAGCAUGCUUCUGGAUCUGGAUCCUGGGAAACAAGGAUACAUGACACACAGAAAGAUUAAAGGAAAAAGAGAAGAGAAUGUAAAGACAAAAGAGGGAUACAAGAUGAAGAGUUUUCUCUCUACAGGAUCUGAAUAACUUUCUUCAGUAGGGUGUUUCUUUAUCUACUUAACCUUCAGAGAAAUCAAGUCCAAGAUCACACAAUAAGUGGCAAAAUCCAAAGUUGAACCCAGUGUUUUUCCCCCAACCCCAGCAGCUUCCAUUUGAAGAGGGAAAUCAUUUGAGAGACUAUGAU